CCUACGGGCGGCAGCAGUAGGGAAUAUUGCUCAAUGGGGGAAACCCUGAAGCAGCAACGCCGCGUGGAGGAUGAAGGUUUUCGGAUUGUAAACUCCUUUUGUUAGAGAAGAUAAUGACGGUAUCUAACGAAUAAGCACCGGCUAACUCCGUGCCAGCAGCCGCGGUAAUACGGAGGGUGCAAGCGUUACUCGGAAUCACUGGGCGUAAAGAGCGCGUAGGCGGGAUAGCAAGUCAGAUGUGAAAUCCUAGGGCUUAACCAUAGAACUGCAUUUGAAACUGUUAUUAUAGAGUAUGUGAGAGGUAGGUGGAAUUCUUGGUGUAGGGGUAAAAUCCGUAGAGAUCAAGAGGAAUACUCAUUGCGAAGGCGACCUGCUAGAACAUAACUGACGCUGAUGCGCGAAAGCGUGGGGAGCAAACAGGAUUAGAUACCCUUGUAGUC
rnacentral:rRNA from 1 species